GCCGGAGUGGCGGAAUUGGUAGACGCGCCAGACUUAGGAUCUGGUUGGGUAACUAGUGCAGGUUCGAGUCCUGUCUCCGGCACCA
rnacentral:tRNA from 1 species